CUAAAAUUGAGAUGAUAUAGAAAAGAUUAGCAUGGAAUAAUACAGAGAAGAUUAGCAAGGAUGACAUGCAAAUACAUGAAGCAUCCCAUAUUUUU
rnacentral:snRNA from 1 species